AGAGUUUGAUCAUGGCUCAGGAUGAACGCUGGCGGCGUGCCUAAUACAUGCAAGUCGAGCGGCAGCACGGUCUUCGGACUGGUGGCGAGCGGCGGACGGCUGAGUAACGCGUAGGAAUAUACCCCAAAGUGAGGGAUAACUGCCCGAAAGGGUGGCUAAUACCGCAUGUGGUCUUCGGACUAAAGCCUUCGGGCGCUUUGGGAAUAGCCUGCGUAAGAUUAGCUAGUUGGUGAGGUAAUGGCUCACCAAGGCGACGAUCUUUAGCUGGUCUGAGAGGAUGACCAGCCAGACUGGAGCUGAGACACGGUCCAGACUCCUACGGGAGGCAGCAGUAGGGAAUUUUCCACAAUGGGCGAAAGCCUGAUGGAGCAACGCCGCGUGCAGGAUGAAGGCCCUCGGGUCGUAAACUGCUUUUAUGUGCGAAGAAUAUGACGGUAACACAUGAAUAAGGGUCGGCUAACUACGUG
rnacentral:rRNA from 1 species